UAGCAUAUCAAUAAGCGGAGGAAAAGAAACCAACAGGGAUUGCCCUAGUAACGGCGAGUGAAGCGGCAACAGCUCAAAUUUGAAAUCUGGCCCCCUCCGGGGGUCCGAGUUGUAAUUUGCAGAGGGUGCUUUGGCUUUGGCGGCGGUCUAAGUUCCUUGGAACAGGACAUCGCAGAGGGUGAGAAUCCCGUACGUGGGCGCCUGCCACUGCCGUGUAAAGCCCCUUCGACGAGUCGAGUUGUUUGGGAAUGCAGCUCUAAAUGGGAGGUAAAUUUCUUCUAAAGCUAAAUACCGGCCAGAGACCGAUAGCGCACAAGUAGAGUGAUCGAAAGAUGAAAAGUACUUUGGAAAGAGAGUAAAAUAGCACGUGAAAUUGUUGUAGAGGAAGCGCUUGCAGCCAGACUUCCCCGUAGUUGCUCACCCGGGCUCUUGCCCGGGGCACUCUUCUGCGGGGAGGCCAGCAUCAGUUUGGGCGGUCGGAGAAAGGCCUCUGUCACGUAUCUCCCUCCGGGGUGACCUUAUAGGGGAGGCGUAAUGCGACCAGCCCGGACUGAGGUCCGCGCAUCUGCUAGGAUGCUGGCGUAAUGGCUGUAAGCGGCCCGUCUUGAAACACGGACCAAGGAGUCUAACAUCUAUGCGAGUGUUUGGGUGUCAAGCCCGGGCGCGCAAUGAAAGUGAACGGAGGUGGGAACCCUCGGGUGCACCAUCGACCGAUCCUGAUGUCUUCGGAUGGAUUUGAGUAAGAGCAUAGCUGUUGGGACCCGAAAGAUGGUGAACUAUGCUUGAAUAGGGUGAAGCCAGAGGAAACUCUGGUGGAGGCUCGCAGCGGUUCUGACGUGCAAAUCGAUCGUCAAAUUUGGGCAUAGGGGCGAAAGACUAAUCGAACUAUCUAGUAGCUGGUUCCUGCCGAGUUCCCC
rnacentral:rRNA from 1 species